UACGAAGGGGGCUAGCGUUGCUCGGAAUUACUGGGCGUAAAGGGCGCGUAGGCGGCGCUGCAAGUCAGGCGUGAAAUUCCUGGGCUUAACCUGGGGGCUGCGCUUGAGACUGUGGUGCUAGAGGAUGGAAGAGGGUCGUGGAAUUCCCAGUGUAGAGGUGAAAUUCGUAGAUAUUGGGAAGAACACCGGUGGCGAAGGCGGCGACCUGGUCCAUUACUGACGCUGAGGCGCGACAGCGUGGGGAGCAAACAGG
rnacentral:rRNA from 1 species